UUAUGGCGCUUAGCGUAGUGC
rnacentral:misc_RNA from 1 species